UGGAUGUGUAGUUCUGAGAAAAAUGUGACGAAAAUUUUCAACUUGGCUAUCAUGUGUAAAAUCAUACAAGUGUUCGGUAAACAGGAAGUUGUCAAGUGAUGAAUCUGAAACGCAUCACACGGUAUGGCUAACAUAUAUAAUGUUGAUACCAAAUUACAGAAAGGGUGGAUGUGUAGUUCCUGAGAAAAAUGUGACGAAAAUUUUCAACUUGGCUAUCAUGUGUAAAAUCAUACAAGUGUUCGGUAAACAGGAAGUUGUCAAGUGAUGAAUCUGA
rnacentral:lncRNA from 1 species